AUUGAACGCUGGCGGCAGGCCUAACACAUGCAAGUCGAGCGGAUGAAGGGAGCUUGCUCCUGGAUUCAGCGGCGGACGGGUGAGUAAUGCCUAGGAAUCUGCCUGGUAGUGGGGGAUAACGUCCGGAAACGGGCGCUAAUACCGCAUACGUCCUGAGGGAGAAAGUGGGGAUCUUCGGACCUCACGCUAUCAGAUGAGCCUAGGUCGGAUUAGCUAGUUGGUGGGGUAAAGGCCUACCAAGGCGACGAUCCGUAACUGGUCUGAGAGGAUGAUCAGUCACACUGGAACUGAGACACGGUCCAGACUCCUACGGGAGGCAGCAGUGGGGAAUAUUGGACAAUGGGCGAAAGUCUGAUCCAGCCAUGCCGCGUGUGUGAAGAAGGUCUUCGGAUUGUAAAGCACUUUAAGUUGGGAGGAAGGGCAGUAAGUUAAUACCUUGCUGUUUUGACGUUACCAACAGAAUAAGCACCGGCUAACUUCGUG
rnacentral:rRNA from 1 species